GUCACGGCAUAAAAAGCCAAGUGUGGCCUAAUAAAGUUCAGAUUGCUGCUUUUACCCAAUACGACUGGUUGCGACCAUUACAUUGGGGAAACGCUACACGGAAACUCUACACAAAGGGAAUACUUUCACUAUAUUCUGCACAUCUGGUAUAAGGACUAGUGGAGGAUUGAAGGAAUAACAGCAAAAGACUAACAAACAAAGGCGUAACUUGAAACCAUG